GGACUACUAGGGUUUCUAAUCCUGUUCGCUCCCCACGCUUUCGCGUCUCAGCGUCAGUACCGUACUAGAGAGCCGCCUUAGCCACGGGUGUUCUUCCUGAUAUCUGCGCAUUUCACCGCUACACCAGGAAUUCCACUCUCCUCUUCCGGACUCUAGUUCGGGGGUUUCCAUCGGCGUCUCGAGGUUGAGCCUCGAGUUUUCACAACGGACCUACCGAACCGCCUACACGCUCUUUACGCCCAAUAAAUCCGGACAACGCUUGCCCCCUACGUAUUACCGCGGCGGCUGGCAC
rnacentral:rRNA from 1 species